GAACAAGCACACAACAACAUUAAAGGUUAAUGGACUGCCACCAACUCUUGGAAGAUAUGGUGUGUAACAGGCAACACUAGUACAAGGAUGACAACCAGCUCGUGACUGUCAACUGAACAAAUUAAAAUUGUUCAGACUACACUUAAAGGGAAUUUGAAGACAUGACUCAAUUCAAGGAUCAACGUUUUUAAAAGUCAUUAAGUUUUACUUGUCGAUUUUAUGAGUCAGGCUUAACCUGUGUUUAACAUGGUUACAGAAUUGUCUUCGGUUUUAAUGGUUUUUAACUGUCCAAAUGGACUUAUCUGUGUUCAUUUUGUACUUAAAGUGACUGCAGGAUCAGGUGUUUUAUCAUGUAUCUAUUUAUACAUUUUAAAAAUGCCAAAUUAAAAAAAAAGUGUGGAAAACAA